CCAUCCUGGUCAACAUGUUGGACUGCGGCCUUCUAAGCCGUAGGUCACGCGUUCGAAUCGUGUAGGGCGGGCCA
rnacentral:tRNA from 1 species